CCUACGGGAGGCAGCAGUAGGGAAUCUUCCACAAUGGGCGAAAGCCUGAUGGAGCAACGCCGCGUGGGUGAAGAAGGUCUUCGGAUCGUAAAAUCCUGUUGUUAGAGAAGAAAGUGCGUGAGAGUAACUGUUCACGUUUCGACGGUAUCUACCCAGAAAGCCCCGGCUAACUACGUGCCAGCAGCCGCGGUAAUACGUAGGUGGCAAGCGUUAUCCGGAUUUAUUGGGCGUAAAGGGAACGCAGGCGGUCUUUUAAGUCUGAUGUGAAAGCCUUCGGCUUAACCGGAGUAGUGCAUUGGAAACUGGGAGACUUGAGUGCAGAAGAGGAGAGUAGAACUCCAUGUGUAGCGGUGAAAUGCGUAGAUAUAUGGAAGAACACCAGUGGCGAAAGCGGCUCUCUGGACUGUAACUGACGCUGAGGUUCGAAAGCGUGGGUAGCAAACAGGAUUAGAUACCCGGGUAGUC
rnacentral:rRNA from 1 species